rnacentral:rRNA from 1 species
AUUGAACGCUGGCGGCAUGCCUAACACAUGCAAGUCGAGCGGAUGAAGGGAGCUUUCUCCUGGAUUCAGCGGCGGACGGGUGAGUAAUGCCUAGGAAUCUGCCUGGUCUUGGGGGAUAACGUCCGGAAACGGGCGCUAAUACCGCAUACGUCCUGAUGGAGAAAGUGGUGGCUCUUCGGACCUCACGCUAUCAGAUGAGCCUAGGUGGGAUUAGCUAGUUGGUGGGGUAAAGUCCUACCAAGCCGACGAUCCGUAACUGGUCGUAGAGGAUGUUAAGUCACACUGGAACUGAGACACGGUCCAGACUCCUACGGGAGGCAGCAGUGGGGAAUAUUGGACAAUGGGCGAAAGCCUGAUCCAGCCCUGCAGCGUGUGUGAAGAAGGUCUUCGGAUUGUAAAGACCUUUAUGUUGGGAGGAAGGGCAGUAAGUUAAUACCGUGCUGUUUUGACGUUACCAACAGAAUAAGCACCGGCUAACUUCGUG